UUCGCCCUUAGAGUUUGAUCCUGGCUCAGGGCGAACGCUGGCGGCGUGCCUAAAACAUGCAAGUCGAGCGGGGGUUGGCCGCGGGGCAACCCGCGGUUUCAGCUCUAGCGGCGAACGGGUGAGUAACACGUGGGCAACCUGCCCCGAAGACGGGGAUAACCUCGGGAAACCGGGGCUAAUACCCGAUACCCUCCCCUGGGGGCAUCCCCGGGAGAGGAAAGGGUUGGGCGCAAGCCCUUCCGCUUCGGGAUGGGCCCGCGGCCUAUCAGCUCGUUGGUGGGGUAACGGCCCACCAAGGCGAUGACGGGUAGCUGACCUGAGAGGGUGGUCAGCCACACUGGGACUGAGACACGGCCCAGACUCCUACGGGAGGCAGCAGUUGGGAAUCUUGGGCAAUGGGCGCAAGCCUGACCCAGCGACGCCGCGUGGGGGAUGAAGGCCUUCGGGUUGUAAACCCCUGUCAGGAGGGACGA
rnacentral:rRNA from 1 species